GGCGCCAUGGCUUAGUAGUAAAGUGCCUGUCUAGUAAACAGGAGAUCCUGGGUUCGAUCCCCAGUGGUGCCU
rfam:Ciona savignyi cont_36403, whole genome shotgun sequence.